UACGGGGGGAGCAAGCGUUGUUCGGAUUUACUGGGCGUAAAGGGCGCGUAGGCGGCGUGACAAGUCACUUGUGAAAUCUCCGGGCUUAACCCGGAACGGUCAAGUGAUACUGUCGUGCUAGAGUACAGAAGGGGCAACUGGAAUUCUCGGUGUAGCGGUGAAAUGCGUAGAUAUCGAGAGGAACACCUGCGGCGAAGGCGGGUUGCUGGGCUGACACUGACGCUGAGGCGCGAAAGCUAGGGGAGCGAACGGG
rnacentral:rRNA from 1 species